UUCCACAAACUUCCCAAGUCAUCUGAGGUUGUUUAUCUGGAAACAAACACUGCUGUGAAGGCUGGAUCUGAUUGUACUAGCCUCAGUAUAAGUGAAAGUCCUUCUUGGAGAAGAAGCCAUAAAAAGCAGCCACAGAAGCAAAGAGCAUGACUUAGAAAGAGGAAAAGUUAAAACGAUCUUUUAAUUGUUGCGACAGGUUUCCUGUGAUGGUCUAUGCUGAAACUUGCCCCAAAGCUUCCUAUUGUCUGAAAAGAGAAGAGCAGAGAGAAUGGGGGAAGAGUACAUCCAGGGAUCUGGAUCCUUGGCCCAGGCUGAUGACCUUAAUGCAAAGCUGCUGUCGGAAUGGAAGAGAGACUUGGACAAAGAAUCUGUGUCAAAUGCAUGUUCCAUUUUUUGUCUUACUCCUCGAUGUGUUACGAUGUUCUACAUAGCAAGCUUUUUUACCCAGAGGUUUUUCCAGAUAUGUGUUUUUCAGAAUGCAUGAAUAAAGAAGAGCUGAUAAUUAGGAAAAAAAAAAAACAAACAUAUAUCCAAUAUUCUUUAGUAUUUUUCAUUUUACAAAAUCCCAGAAACGAAUGCAGAAUAUGGUAUAAAUUUCAAAAUUGAAGUUAUACUUCAUUUCAAAUGAUUUCUAAUCUUCAUUUCUCUAGACUUGAUUAAGUAUUGUUAUUAUUUGUUGAAGGAAGGCAACGUGGUCUCCAAAAUAAGCGCCAAUAUGUUGAUUAUAACAUAACUGCAUAGACAGACAUAAAUGUUCCCAUGCAUGUAUUAAUAAAUUCAUUAAUUUCAGUGUUAA